GCAGCUUCCUUCUGAUUUCGUGGAAUUCUUCCCUUCUUAUUAGUAUGUAUGGCUGCCCAGAUGCAAGCAAGCUUCUAUUCUUUAGCUACUAACAUUCUUUCUUCUUUUCCAAGUACUGCAAAUGGGGGAUUUCUGCCAUUACAAUCCUCGGGCAUCACAAUUGCCCAUUCGUGACAGAAAAAAAUACGACGUUUUCUUGAGUUUUCGGGGUCCCGAUGUGAGAAAAACCUUUGCGGAUCAUCUUUACCAAUCUCUCUCCAUUGCAGGAUUGAAUGUCUUUAUAGACAGUGAGAAAUUGGAAAAGGGUGAAGUAAUUGGUAUGAGUCUGCAGCAGGCCAUUCAAAACUCUACAAUCUAUAUACCCAUAUUUUCUCCUGAUUAUGCGACUUCAGUAUGGUGCCUCAGGGAGGUCUCCCUGAUGUGGCAAAUGAAGUCCACAAACGCGCACAUUAUGAUACCUCUCUUUUAUAAUGUGGAACCCUCACAUGUCAGGCAUGGAGGAGGCCCAUAUGCUAAGGCUUUUAAUAAACAUUGCACUCAAGGUCCGUAUCGCCCAGAGGUGAUCAAAGGCUGGAGAGAUGUGCUGUGUGAAGUCUCUUAUUUAUCUGGGUGGUCUCUCGUAGAAACGUCCGCCGGGUACGAAGGGAAGCUUGUGAAUCAAGUGGUGAAGGACGUUCUCCAGACAUUGGAUUUCGGAAUGCUAGAGGUGGCCCAACACCCUGUGGGACUCAUACCUCGCUGUGAGAAGGUGCUACAGUUGUUGAGAUUGGGCGAUGAGACAAGUGAUAGGCUCACCCUUGGUAUUUGGGGCAUGGGUGGUCUGGGUAAAACCAACCUGUCAAAAGCCCUUUAUAACGAGAUCCGUCAUCUCUUUGAAACUUCCUCUUUUGUAUCUAAUGUAAAACUUGAGGAAUCCCGCAAGGGACCUAUAAAAUUGCAGCAACAGAUCCUCAAGGAUCUGUUGAAAACUAAGAUAAAGCUGAAUGAUAUUGAUCAUGGAAAUAUUGUAAUGAGAACUCGUUUGGCUUCCAUAAAAGCACUGGUGGUCUUGGAUGAUGUUGACAAUGAGCGACAGUUAGAUGCUCUAAUGGGUGACUGGUUUGGGAAAGGUAGCAAAAUCAUCAUUACAACCCGAGAUAAACGUGUCUUGGAGGUGCGGCAAGUUGAUGUGAUUUACCCCAUGAGAGGACUUGAGCAUGCAGAAGCUCUGGAGCUAUUCAGUUGGCAUGCCUUUCGCAGAGAGCACCCGGAAAAAGGCUUUGAAAAUAUGACAGAGAGAAUUGUGAAAACUUGUUCGGGUCUUCCUCUGUCUUUGAGAAUUAUAGGCACAGACCUAUACAAUAGAGAUAAGACUAGGUAUUGGCCUGAAGUCCUGCACAAACUUGAAAAUGUCGGCCACGAUGUUGCCUUUGAAACCCUCAAAAUCAGUUACGAUAAUCUAGCCUCUGUAGAGCAACACAUCUUCUUAGACAUAGCCUGUUUCUUCGUUGAAAGUAAGAGUAGUGACUUCAUUGAGAAUAGGGCUUUCAGUACAGAUUUCUAUGUUAGAUUCUGGAGUGCUUUUGGGUGUGAGUCUGUGUUUACAAGUCUUAAAACCCUUGAAGAGAAGGCACUCCUUGUAAUUCACAAGCACAGACAUAUUGAGGCCAUAGAUGAUGAUGUGGAUGAAGACGACUACAGGGGUCAGUACUUUUGGGAAUUUUGUAUGCAUGAUCAGAUAAGAGACAUGGGUAGACGAAUAGUCCGAGAGGAAUCCUGGAACAACCCAACCAAACGCAGUAGAGUUUGGCGGGAGGAGGACAUACGUACUCUAAUGACUGCCACGACCAUCCAGGAAAACUCAAAUAUAGAGGGCCUCGUGUGGAGAAAGCGCAUGGAGCUUCAGCAUUUAGACACUUUGGCACCAUUGCAGAAAUUAGGUUUCUUGCUAUGGUGGGAAUUGCAGGUAAAGACCGAGAUAAAAAGACUACCUACAAAUCUAAAAUAUCUGGUCUUAUCCGAGUGUCAAUUGAAGAACUACGAUCCCCAGAUGGCUGGAAUAGAGAGCGGUAGUGACCAUAAUAGAUCAUCUGUCCUUUCCCCUGUUCUGCCUAAAUCCAUAGCCAAACUUAUAUAUCUGAGAUACCUUGAUAUGAGCGGUACUAAACAAAGUUGCCUUCCAAAUGAAAUCUGUGAGCUUCAAUGCUUGGAAGAGUUAUAUUUAAGCAGAUGCAGUUUACAGGCCCUGCCUGAAGCUUUUGGAAAUCUUAUCAAGCUAAAGACAUUUGAUGUUAGCAACAAUUUCUUGUCAGAAUUUCCACGAAGUUUUGAAUACCUGAAGUCUUUAGUGAAUCUAAAGAUGGCCUGUAAUGAACAACUUGUAGUAUUCCCUGCUCUCCCAGAAGGCCUCAUCAAUCUCAAUGCCAGAAGAUGCUCAAAAUUGCAAGCAAUAUAUUUCGCCAAUUAUAAUAAACUUUUGGAGACUCUUGAUUUAUCUCACUGUGAAAGUCUUACUCGACUUCAAACACUGCGCCCUUGGAAAUCUUUGAGACAUCGUAGACUAGACGGAUGUAAGAAACUUGAUAGAUUGGACUCUCUUCCAGAAUGCCUCAGAUCUCUACACAUUUCAGGAUGCUUAAGAUUGCAGGAAAUCUUCUUCAAUCCUUUUCCACCACCAUCAUCAAUCCUUUUUCAGCAACUUUGUUUGCAGCCCUCAGAUUUAACUUUCAACCGAGCUUUUUUUCUAUCCUCAACUGUUAACCCACCUGUUGACCAUCCCCUUGUUAACCGACCUAUUUUAUCAUCCCUUGAAGGUGAUGCUUUUAACCAACCUGUUUUCCAGUUCUUUGAAGAUGAUGCUGUUAACCGACCUGAUUUCCUGUCCUUAACUUUUAAGCUUUUAACCCACUUAUUGUCAAGUCCCUUGAGAAUGGUGUUGUUAACCAACCUCUUUUCCAGUCCUUAACUUUUAUUACACAUCUUGUCCAGUCCCAACAUUCUGUACACUCAUCAACUUUUAACCCAUCUGUUAAUUAUUCCCUUUCUCAUUUACCCUCCCUUGAGGGUGAUGCUUUUAACCAACCUGUUUUUCAGUCCUUUUAGGGAUGAUGCUUUGACUCUUCUUUCUCCGAAAAGAAAGAGCUAUGCAUGAUAGGCUGUGACAGCAUUGUUGUUGAAGGAUUUUCGUCAUUUGGAGCAAUUGGACAUGUCACUAUCUUCUGAAUCAGAUGGUGAAUCACAACAUCUUGUAGGUCAAAAGAAUCUCACAGUGCAAAGUUGCAUUGUGUGUAUCACUUUUCUUUUGGUUUGUGGAAGAAAGCGAGGAGACUGAUCAUCUUUCACAGGUGUGUGUGCUAAUGACAUAUUUGGACGACGGCUAUGGCUCUCAAUGGAAGUCCCAUCACGCAUGAAAGGAGAUUGCAGUGGAAAAUUUAUCAUGUUAGUAUUCAUUUGGGAUACAAAUCAUUUAUUAAAGGAGGUACACUAUGCGUUGUUCAUACUCUCUACAUGAUCGAUUGUUACAACGUGGGAGUGCAGUGUUCGUAAGGCAAGUGGACAUUUUCUCCUGGAAGAAAAUGCUACUUCUCAAAAUGCCAUUCAAUUUUGGCAACAAAGCAAAUUGUUCAUUCAAUGCCAUCUUCAUUAAUGUCGAUGGGAUUGAAAGUCGAAUUAUUAAAUUAAGUUUAUUA